UGUGAUUGCGCCUUCUUUAACAGAGAUAUUUACUAAAUCUAUUCAUACUGGAAUAUUUCCAGAUGAAUGGAAGGAAGCAAGGGUGUCGCCAGUGUAUAAGAACGGUGCAAAGCAUGAUCCGAGCAAUUAUAGGCCUAUAUCGGUGAUUCCAACGGUUUCAAAGAUUUUUGAGAAAAUUAUCUUUGACCAACUUAAUAAAUAUUUUAACGACAACAAUCUGUUGACCACCUGUCAAUCUGGAUUUCGGUCAUUGCAUAGUACAGUAACAGCGUUGCUGGAGGCUACAAAUAGCUGGUCUGUUAAUAUAGAUAAUGGUCUAAUUAAUGGGGUUGUUUUCAUUGAUCUGAAAAAAGCCUUUGAUACUAUUGAUCAUCAGAUAAUUUUACAGAAAUUAGAACAUUGUGGUAUCGACCAUAAUAGUUUAAAAUGGUUCGAAUCAUAUCUUACUGGCAGAACACAAAAAUGCAAAGUUAAUGAUCGGCUAUCAGGUUCGACGUCAGUAACGUGCGGAAUCCCACAAGGGAGUAAUUUGGGUCCGUUACUGUUCCUUAUCUAUAUUAACGAUCUGCCAAAUUGUAUUGCCUCCACCACGCCACUCCUAGAAUGUUUGCAGACGAUACGAAUGUAAGCUUUGCAGCUGAUUCUCUGGAAGAGCUCCAAAGUGUCAUUAAUUCUGAA